UAAUUGAUGCUGAUUAAGGUGCAAAUCAUG
rnacentral:piRNA from 1 species